GUAGAAGAAGAAGUAGAAGAAGAAGAAGUAGAAGUAGAAGACGAAGAAGAAAAAGAAGCGACAGGCGCCAUUGUCAUGUCUGACACAGCAAGAGAGGAUGAGAUACAGUUUCUCCGGGACCAACUGAGGCAAAAGGAGGAGGAAGUCCAGCUGGCUGCUCAUGCUGGCUUGGAUCUGCUUAAUCAGCUAACAGAAACACAAACUGUGUUUGAGGAACAGAGAAUAAAGAUGACAAGUGCGUUGGAGGAUCUUAAGCAAGACAAGUAUACGCUGCAGAAGGAGGUGGUGCUGAAGACCCGGCUAAUUGAAUCAUUGCAAUCAGAGGUUGAUUGCCUGACGAAAUGGCAUCGACAGAACAUGAACAUUGAAAAGGAAAAACUUGAGAGUAGUCACCGCACGACUCUUAAUGAAUUCAACAACAAGGUGAUACAUUUACAAUCUGCUCUGGAUGAGUCACAGCUAAUUGAGAAACAGCUGACAGAAAAGCUUGACUUACAAACCAAGGUGCUGAAUAAUAAGAUGGAUGAGAUACGGGUUCUGAAUGAAGACACUCGGAGUUCAUGUAAAUCUGAGUCCUUGGAUCUGCGGAAAACUGUUCUGGAGUUAGAGGACAUAAAGUUGGAGUUGGAACUGGCACUAAAGGAAUCAAAGUACAAAGAGCAUCAGCUAGAAUUGACCAAUAGGGGCCUCCAUCACAACCUCAAGCAAACCACAGAGGAGAAAAACAAUGAAGCUGCCACCUGGUAUGCAGCAUUGGAGAAAUCUCGUGAGGUGAACCGUGAACUCCAGGUACAUAUGGAAAGAGUUCUAAAACAAGCCCAGGAUCCAAACAGCAAGGGCAAUUCUCUUUUCGCUGAGUUGGAGGACGAACGUGCUGAAAUGGAGAGGAGGCUUAUCAGUAUGAAGGACCAGUACGAUUCACUUCAAGCACAUUAUGCCUUUAACAAACAGCAGUUGCAGCGUAUGAAGGUCCACAUUGCCACCCUUAUGCAACUCCAAUGUUCAAGAGCUGAUCCCUUUCAGCUGGACAGACUCUAUUCUAUGUUGUCACAGAAGAAUGACGAGAUACAACAUUUGAUGGCUAAACAACAGAGACUGGAGAAGGUUGAGGUGUUGCUAAAGACCAAGGGGAACGAUGCACCUCCCUCAGAAAUUGGUAAAGGCGAGGAUGAAACGUUUUACACUAUCUUGCUCAAAAUGAAACUCGACAAUGCAAUUAAGGAUGUGGAACGUUUAGGAGAUGAACUUUCCAUGCAAAGGAUGCAGUCUUUGUUAGAAAGCCAGAAAGUUCUUGAACUGGAGAAGAAACUCUUCAAAGAUGAACGUCUUCUCAAACAGGCCCAGUGCGACAAAAUCAGUCUACAGCUUCAAGUGGAAGAGCUACAACACACAUAUGAACCCAAAGAGACAACUGAUUUAUCCCAGGGGACAAAGAAAGAGAAAUUACCUACACAUACUGUACCAUCAUUUGAAGGAACAACACAUGGUAACAGCAAGCAGAUUUCAAAGGAAAAAGUUAUCACUCAUACGAUGAUUCUUCUCCCUGAGACAGACGAAUGUCGCACUGGAUUUGAUGUGCAGCAUAAAUCUGCCAACCAUGUCAAGAUUAGUGGGGAUGAUCCUGUUUUGACCCCCACUACCAGCGCUCAUGUGACCAGUUACAAUGUGCUGGUAAAGAAGGAGCACCACAAGAAGGAUGAAACAGAGGAAAAGAAAAAGGGGGAGCAUCACGAGCCUGAUGAAGCAGAGGAAAGGGAAAAACAACAAAAUGUUCAGAUGAUGCAUGUCUGUUCUGAAAGCACUAUAGAAUCCCAAUGUUCUCCACAGUAGGAACCUCCUAUAAUUCUGGCAACCGGAUCAGUACUAAUGUAUACAUGGAAUAGUGCCAAGAUUUUCAAGAUUUUCAUUUUGUUUAUUAUUGCAAUGAUAGUUGUGUCCCUACUUUGUGAAAUAUACUUUUAGUUUAGUACAUUCCUGACCGCGUCAAUCAAAUGUUCAACAUGAUUUGUGAUGCACUGGCUGUUUAGAGUCAAUUUAUCAUAAACAUCCGAGCAUGUACAUUGUCUUUGAACAAUUUUUGUCAGUAAUUCUUCAAAGUUGAGCAUUUAGCCAUAUUCAGUUGCAUCACAUCCUGUAUCAUACUGUUCUAUGUAUUUGCAAUGAACAGGUAAAUGUAGCCUGUCUUUCUAGUCUACUAUUAAUUGGAAACAAUAAAGAUGACUUUGGUUCUUCAUUUGGACAAACAAAAAA